CUGGUCCAAGCACAUGUUGAGUGUUUAAUUUCAGCUCCAUUGUCUUGGUGUACAGAAGCAAACUCAAAGCUCAGUGGCAGAUUAUCUAGGCUGGAUAAUUUAGACAAAUAUGCUUUUCUCAAACAAACAAACAGCAGAGCUGAUCCUUCACCUGAGGCUGUGGCACAAAGUAUUUCAGCAUCAGCGAUGCCACGUUGCAGCUUGUGGAACCAAAGCACCGACAGACAACAUAUAUAAAGGCUGAGCUUCCUUUUCCAGCACAUCCAGCUACCUGCUGCUUCAAGUGUAACGACGACUGAUCAUCACAGAAAGAUGGCAUCAGCUCUUAAGUUCAUUGUGCUCCUCGUCUUGGUCUGUGGACUUUGGAGUGAAACAAACGCACUAAAGAAAAAGAAAUUAUUAACCAAAUCAU